UAUUCGUUGGUGUAGAGGCAUAAAAAGUUUUGAUCUUUUAGGGAAUAGGUGUAAAUCCAUUACGUAUAA
rnacentral:tRNA from 1 species